rnacentral:rRNA from 1 species
CGGACAGUGUCUGGUGGGUAGUUUGACUGGGGCGGUCUCCUCCUAAAGAGUAACGGAGGAGCACGAAGGUUGGCUAAUCCUGGUCGGACAUCAGGAGGUUAGUGCAAUGGCAUAAGCCAGCUUGACUGCGAGCGUGACGGCGCGAGCAGGUGCGAAAGCAGGUCAUAGUGAUCCGGUGGUUCUGAAUGGAAGGGCCAUCGCUCAACGGAUAAAAGGUACUCCGGGGAUAACAGGCUGAUACCGCCCAAGAGUUCAUAUCGACGGCGGUGUUUGGCACCUCGAUGUCGGCUCAUCACAUCCUGGGGCUGAAGUAGGUCCCAAGGGUAUGGCUGUUCGCCAUUUAAAGUGGUACGCGAGCUGGGUUUAGAACGUCGUGAGACAGUUCGGUCCCUAUCUGCCGUGGGCGCUGGAGAACUGAGGGGGGCUGCUCCUAGUACGAGAGGACCGGAGUGGACGCAUCACUGGUGUUCGGGUUGUCAUGCCAAUGGCACUGCCCGGUAGCUAAAUGCGGAAGAGAUAAGUGCUGAAAGCAUCUAAGCACGAAACUUGCCCCGAGAUGAGUUCUCCCUGACUC